GCCGAAGUGGUGGAAUUGGCAGACACGCUGGUUUUAGGUACCAGUGCUUCACGGCGUGCGGGUUCGAGUCCCGCCUUCGGCA
rnacentral:tRNA from 1 species